rnacentral:rRNA from 1 species
UACAGAGGGUGCAAGCGUUGUUCGGAAUUAUUGGGCGUAAAGGGCGCGUAGGCGGUGCGGUAAGUCCGCAGUGAAAUCUCGGGGCUCAACCCCGAGCGGUCAUGAGAAACUGGCAGGCUAGAGUGCGGGAGAGGAGAGUGGAAUUCCUGGUGUAGCGGUGAAAUGCGCAGAUAUCAGGAGGAACACCAGUAGCGAAGGCGGCACUCUGGGCCGGUACUGACGCUGAGGAGCGAAAGCGUGGGGAGCGAACAGG